rnacentral:rRNA from 1 species
GAUGAACGCUGGCGGCGUGCUUAACACAUGCAAGUCGAACGAAGCGCUUGAGAUGGAUUCUUCGGAUGAUUUCUCUUGUGACUUAGUGGCGGACGGGUGAGUAACGCGUGGGUAACCUGCCUCACACAGGGGGAUAACAGUUGGAAACGACCGCUAAUACCGCAUAACCCGCUAGGGCCGCAUGGCCCGCACGGAAAAGAUUUAUCGGUGUGAGAUGGACCCGCGUUGGAUUGGCUAGUUGGCAGGGUAAUGGCCUACCAAGGCGACGAUCCAUAGCCGGCGUGAGAGGGUGAACGGCCACAUUGGGACUGAGACACGGCCCAAACUCCUACGGGAGGCAGCAGUGGGGAAUAUUGCACAAUGGGGGAAACCCUGAUGCAGCGACGCCGCGUGAGUGAAGAAGUAUUUCGGUAUGUAAAGCUCUAUCAGCAGGGAAGAAAAUGACGGUACCUGACUAAGAAGCCCCGGCUAACUACGUGCCAGCAGCCGCCGUAAUAC